rnacentral:tRNA from 1 species
GGGGUUGUGGGUCAGCGGUAGAGCGAUCACCUAGCAUGUGCGAGGCCCUGGGUUCGAUCCUCAGCACCACA